GACGAACGCUGGCGGCGUGCUUAACACAUGCAAGUCGAACGGAAAGGCCCUGCUUGCAGGGUACUCGAGUGGCGAACGGGUGAGUAACACGUGGGUGAUCUGCCCUGCACUUCGGGAUAAGCCUGGGAAACUGGGUCUAAUACCGGAUAGGAGCCAUUUUUAGUGUGAUGGUUGGAAAGUUUUUUCGGUGUAGGAUGAGCUCGCGGCCUAUCAGCUUGUUGGUGGGGUAAUGGCCUACCAAGGCGGCGACGGGUAGCCGGCCUGAGAGGGUGGACGGCCACAUUGGGACUGAGAUACGGCCCAGACGCCGACGGGAGGCAGCAGUGGGGAAUAUUGCACAAUGGGCGCAAGCCUGAUGCAGCGACGCCGCGUGGGGGAGGACGGCCUUCGGGUUGUAAACUCCUUUCGCUAGGGACGAAGCUUUUUGUGACGGUACCUAGAGAAGAAGCACCGGCUAACUACGUG
rnacentral:rRNA from 1 species